AGCCUGUUAUUGUCACAAGGGGGCGCUGUGAUGCAGUCUUGUGUUCUGACGACCUUGCGUCUAGUGCGCAGGAAGUAUUACCUCUCUCUUCCUGUGAGAUCUUCCCUCUGAUGGCGGUCAAGUACGUGUCGGAGCGCAUGGAAAAAGUAUCUUGGCCCCGAACUCUGACCACAAAGGGAAUAACGUCUGUCAAGUUAUUUGUGUCUGAAAAUCCCGAUUGGUUUUUUUGAACUACUAGAAGGAUUCUGGAGAACCACUGACGGCGAGAACAGCCCAAAUGAGAUCCUGGAUGAUCGUGAAAUGGUGUGGCCAGCCAUGCGAUCGGAUUGUGGGAUUUGCCUGAGAAACUGAUUCAAGCAACCCUGGAUUACAGAUAAGCCCUAUGCACUACUUUUCCUACCCGGAUAAUAGGGUUUGCACACUGACAAUUCCCCUACAGUACACCUGUUUGGGUUUUCAACGACUUUAAAGGACAAUUCAGACUGGACAAUUCAAACUUCACAACAGGAACACUUUAAUCUGUUUCAUUCAUUCCCAAGAGCUCUGAUACUGUUCAGUAUAAAUCUUCCAUUUAAAUGUCUUUAUUUUGUUUUGUUUUACAUGUAUUCACCUUUAAAAAUGCACUAUUAGCGUGCAAUUUGGGUUAUUGUGUUGUAUAUGUGUAUAAAUGGUACUGAGGCAAUAAAGGUCCCAGUUAUUCACUUCCAA